GGGUGUAGCUCAAUUGGUAGAGCACCGGUCUCCAAAACCGGGGGUUGUAGGUUCGAGUCCUAUCGCCC
rnacentral:tRNA from 1 species